UGUAGUUGUGUUGGUUUGUCCUACAUGUAGGGGCAGAUGUAAUACAAGUGCUGAGACAAACACCUUCUCUUGCAACCCACAACUACUUGAUUUGUAGGAGUUGUGUUACUAAUGGGGAGGGACAUG